UCAUAACCUCAACCUUUCUUCUAAAUUCUCACCCACUACUUUCAAGCCAUUCAUUCAUUCAUUCCUCUUCUUCUUUUUCUUCUUCAUCUUCAUCUCAAGUGAAAAUGGGGAACUGCUGCUCAGACUCAGAAGACAGCUCUUCAAUGCUUUUGGGGCUGGUGCUGGCUUUGGUUUUGGCCAUGUUGUUGAUGAUGCUCUGUCAACCCUAUCCCAGAAGGAAGGUCGUUGUUUGUCACUGCCAUUGAUUUUUCUUUAGAAAAGACUUCUCAAGUUUAAUGGUGAAAAAAUAGCAACUGAAGGUCAAAAACAUGGGCACAGAUUUGGGAUUUUUGCGACCGCUGCACCCAUACUCAAGAAUAUUCCUAACUUGAGGGCUCAAUGAAUGGAGGGGCAGUGUCACAAGUUUUUUUUUUUUUUUUUUUGGAACGAUGCCAUAACUCAUAAGGGUGUAUUUGGUGAAUGGCAAUAAAUUUGUUGCAUCAAGUUUGGCCACAGAGCUCUUAACACCUCUUGUCAGAUCAAAUCAUACCUUUUAUUGCAUUCAA